CCUACGGGAGGCAGCAGUAAGGAAUAUUGGUCAAUGGACGGAAGUCUGAACCAGCCAUGCCGCGUGCAGGAAGACGGCCCUACUGGUUGUAAACUGCUUUUGCAGGGGAAUAAACCUCAUUACGUGUAAUGAGCUGAAUGUACUCUGAGAAUAAGGAUCGGCUAACUCCGUGCCAGCAGCCGCGGUAAUACGGAGGAUCCAAGCGUUAUCCGGAUUUAUUGGGUUUAAAGGGUGCGUAGGUGGCCUGUUAAGUCAGGGGUGAAAGACGGUAGCUUAACUAUCGCAGUGCCCUUGAUACUGAUGGGCUUGAAUGAACUAGAGGUAGGCGGAAUGUGACAAGUAGCGGUGAAAUGCAUAGAUAUGUCACAGAACACCAAUUGCGAAGGCAGCUUACUAUGGUUUUAUUGACACUGAGGCACGAAAGCGUGGGGGUCAAACAGGAUUAGAUACCCUGGUAGUCCACGCCCUAAACGAUGAAUACUCGAUGUUGGCGAUAUACGGUCAGCGUCUAAGCUAAAGCGUUAAGUAUUCCACCUGGGGAGUACGCCCGCAAGGGUGAAACGUCAAAUGAAUUGACGG
rnacentral:rRNA from 1 species